GGAAGGCGUCCGGUAGGUACGAGGAGCGCCGUUGGAAGCGGCGUAGCACGGCGAUGACGUCGUGCCGGGGGUUCGAAUCCCUCGCCUUCCG
rnacentral:tRNA from 2 species